rnacentral:lncRNA from 1 species
CUCCUUCAUACCAGAAACUCUCUGAAAUCUUCCACAAUUUUCUUUCUAUCCUUGAGGUAUCAUUUUACAUGAGAGUUCUCAGUGGGUCUUUUCAAACUGGAGACUCAUGAUCAUGACAAUCUGGUGCACUCCGACUGUGUUCCACCACACCUCCUUAAUGGGGUUGAAAACCUUCCCAGGGAGACCGUUAGACUGAACAAAUCAAACCGCAGAGCCUUGGUUCAUGUGAAAGGAGAGAGGAGCCGGGUCUAGACAGAGGAACAAAGCAAGAUCCACCAGACACAAACUGCAAGCUAACUUUGACCCUGCUGCCCACCCGCGCCUGGUGGGCUCUCCAUCACUCUGUGACCUCAAGCACUCCCUGUGCAUGGUUGGUCACUCUCUGAGCCAACACAUGCCACCAGCCAUGCUGUGUCUAGAGUCUCCUUACCAUGUGGAUUAAAGGUGGGCUAGAGAUGAUGACCACUACUGAGGUAGAUUGGCAGUCAUCAGUGGGGAACUGGACAACUUCAAAGACAGCCAUACUUACCAAGUUAUUAUCAUGUGGAGAUGCAGGUUAAAGAAGAUGGCUCUGCCAACCUUUUCAGACUCGCUAUGAAAUGUCAAUGCAGCUAAUAUUAUAGACAGCUAAGUUAGGAAAAUAUUAUAGGCAAUCAGACAGGGCUAGACCCUUGAAGGGGUCAGUGCAGAAGAUAAGAACACAUUACAACUGUGGAUGGAGGUGCAUUUAUUGAAGGCCAGUCCUCAAGAUAAAGAUGGAAUGACUAGGCCUACGUAUCUCCCUGAGGGAUAAACAAUAUACUAUAAUCAGUAUUACCUGGUCCAAUAAAGUCUAGAGAGACAUUAGUUACCCAGUGGGGGACCAGGACCUUCUGACUCAUCCUUUCCAAAAAAGGUCCUUGUUCUUUCCAUGCACACUUGCUAUGUGACCUGCUUCCACAUUGGCUCAAUAUUAACUAAGUGGCUAUACUUGUAAUCCUAUUGUUUGAUCAAAGUUUUGCUCAACAUUGUACUCACCUUGUGAUUUUAUACCCACCUUGUGGUUUUGCUCUAUAAAACUUCCUCUGUAGAAUGGGGUCCAAGCCAACCUACUUGGGCCCCCUCCUGUCUCUCAGGAGCUAAAUCUCCCGGCCCACUCAAUAAAUAUCUCCCACUCUUAACCUCCACUGUUCCUUAGAAUUCAUUCUUCAAUUCUGGGGAACUCAAACUCGGUGUAUGUCAUCAUCUAGCAGAUUGGGAGUUACUUCCCUUACACUAGGAGGCCCUAUAUCACUAGGACAUAUUGAUGUGGUGGAGUUAAGCAGAGCACAAGCUUUUAUUCCCCUUGGCUGUGGCUAGAGCCAGGCAGCAGGGCACCCGUCGGGCCCAUGGGCAUCACACUUACCAGGUGUGGCUGCUUCCAUGCAGGAUUUAUUACUAUAGGGUGUUGGGGAGACGAUG